GGCGCGGCCCUUCGAAUAUGAGCGGCCGCAGGCCGGGACCGGGCGGCUAGAACUGGAGCUUCGGCAGCGGUGCCAGAGAUGAAGACGGACACGAUUCCCCGGCCAUGGUGAACAGCACAAAGGUUUGUUCUGAUCCCCUCCAUGAUCCGUCCCAGCUCCAGGACUUCAGUGUCUUCAUCAAAAUUAUCCACAAAAUGAGUUAAUGCAAACCCUGCACUCUUCCAGCCACGGGAGCAAGGAGGGGGAGUCUGUGCUGGAGCAGCCGCUGCCAGAGAGGAUCUCCUUCAUCCAUGGUUUCCUGCAGAGUAAGACCCUCCGCUGGUGCUGGGGAAAGUGACUGCCCCUGCUCAGUGCCCCUGACCUCUGAGAGAGUCUUGUCUGCUGUCUGCAGCUUCCCUCUCCACAAAGUGACCCCCUCACCCCACAUCAACAGCUUUGCGAGGUGCCAGCAGCUUUCCUGUAGCAGCCUGUGGAAGGGAAAGCUUCCUGAUGGGAAACUUCCAGAUGGAAAUCCUUAUCAGAGUCUAGGUUCAGAGCAAGGGAGGUCCUGGGUGUGAAGGACAGGGUGCCAGUGGCUGCUCUGGUGAUACUGCCUUGAAGCAGUUUUCCUAGCUGGGUACCUGGACCCAAGUUCUUCAAAUCACAGUGGAGAAUCUUUACCUAAGCAGAAAUCCUGGGAGGGGAAAUGGGAAGUAUCUCACACUCUUGCUCAGCCUUUUGUAGAGGGAAGACACCAUA